CCGGACCUAGCGGCGGACGGAUGAGUAAUGCUUAUGUGUCUGCCUAUUAGUGGGGGACAACAUCUCGAAAGGGAUGCUAAUACCGCAUACGUCCUACGGCACAAAGCAGGGGAUCUUCGGACCUUGCGCUCUUGCAUGAGCCUAAGUCGGAUUAGCUAGUUGGUGGGGUAGAGGCCUACCCACGCGACGAUCUGUAGCGGGUCUGAGAGGAUGAUCCGCCACACUGGGACUGAGACACAGACCAGACUCCUACUCGAGGCAGCAGUGGGGAAGAUUGGACAAUGGGGGUAACCCUGAUCCAGCCAUGCCGCGUGUGUGAGUAAGGCCUUAUGGUUGUAAAGCACUUUAAGCGAGGAGGAGGCUACUUUAGUUAAUACCUAUAGAUAUUGGACGUUACUCGCAGAAUAAGCACCGGCUAACUCUGUGCCAGCAGCCGCGGUAAUACAAAGGGUGCGAGCGUUAAUCGGAUUUACUGGGCGUAAAGCGUGCGUACGCGGCUUAUUAUUUCAGAUGUGUAAUCCCCGAGCUUACUUGCGAAUUGCAUUCGAUACUGG
rnacentral:rRNA from 1 species